rnacentral:misc_RNA from 1 species
AACGCACAUUGCGCCCCGUGGCAUUCCGCGGGGCAUGCCUGUUCGAGCGUCAUUACACCACUCAAGCCUCGCUUGGUAUUGGGCGACGCGGUACGCCGCGCGCCUCAAAUCUUCCGGCUGGGUUCUCGAUCGUCCCUCAGCGUUGUGGAAACUAUUCGCUAAAGGUGCACGUUUCGGUCACGCCGUUAAACAAACCAAUUAUUAAAGGUUGACCUCGGAUCAGGUAGGGAUACCCGCUGAACUUAA